rnacentral:RNase_P_RNA from 1 species
UCAGAGGAAAGCUCACCACUGAGGUUAUGUUCAGAGUACUUGUCACUUUCUGGCUAAUGCUUCUGGGAAGGUCUGAGACAAGAGCCACUCUUUGCAUAUUGUUAGUGUGUCUGUCAGAAGGGCUAAACAUUAUGUUAUAGUCUUAAGAACAUGUGAGAGAGUCUCACAACCAUAAGCAUGCUUUCUGCUGU